rnacentral:rRNA from 1 species
AGUGAACGCUGGCGGUAGGCCUAACACAUGCAAGUCGAACGGCAGCACAGGAGAGCUUGCUCUCUGGGUGGCGAGUGGCGGACGGGUGAGGAAUACAUCGGAAUCUACUUUUUCGUGGGGGAUAACGUAGGGAAACUUACGCUAAUACCGCAUACGACUUACGGGUGAAAGCAGGGGACCUUCGGGCCUUGCGCGAUUGAAUGAGCCGAUGUCGAGAUUAGCUAGUUGGCGGGGUAAAGGCCCACCAAGGCGACGAUCCGUAGCUGGUCUGAGAGGAGGAUCAGCCACACUGGAACGGAAACACGGUCCAGACUCCUACGGGAGGCAGCAGUGGGGAAUAUUGGACAAAGGGCGAAAGCCUGAUCCAGCCAUACCGCGUGGGUGAAGAAGGCCUUCGGGUUGCAAAGCCCUUUUGUUGGGAAAGAAAUCCAGCUGGCUAAUACCCGGUUGGGAUGACGGUACCCAAAGAAUAGGCACCGGCUAACUUCGUACCAUCCGCCGCCGUAA